rnacentral:rRNA from 10 species
CUCAAAUAAUGUGUGACU